AUACGUAGGUGACAAGCGUUAUACGGAUUUACUGGGCGUAAAGGGCGUGUAGGCGGUCUUGCAAGUCAGAAGUGAAAUUCCUGAGCUCAACUCGGGCGCUGCUUCUGAAACUGCAGGACUUGAGUGCUGGAGGGGAUAGCGGAAUUCCUAGUGGAGCGGUAAAAUGCGCAGAUAUUAGGAAGAACACCGGGGGCGAAGGCGCAUAUCUGCCCAGUACCAGACGCUCAGGCGCGAGAGCGUAGGGGGAAGACAGGCUUAGUUACCCGGGUAUUCCACGCCGUAAACGAUGAAUACUAGGUGUAGGGGGUAUCGACUCCCUCUGUGCCGCAGUUAACACAAUAAGUAUUCCGCCUGGGGAGUACGGCCACACGGUUGAAACUCAAAUGAAUUGACGGGG
rnacentral:rRNA from 1 species